CACCCCUCCCCAUAACUCCCCAGCAAUCUCCCCAACUUUAAUCAUCACCCCAACAUCCUCCCACUCCUCCUCCCUCUCCCCUCCCCAGAACACGCCUUUCUCCCCUCCUAUAUCCCCCCCUCUCCACCCCGUUGUCUCCCCUUCCUAUAAGCCACACUUCUCCCCACUCCAGCUCCUCCCCAAUCCUCCCAUCACCCCUCUCUCCCCACCCCUUAACGCUCCCCUCUCCCCACCACAUACCUCUCCCAUUUCCCCUUACACUAAUUCCCCUUCCCCUCCUUUACAGCCCCUUCCUCCUACCUCCCCGCCUUCUCCUCCCCACCAUAGGCAAAAUAACCCCUUCCUAACCUCCCCCGCUAACCCCCACCCCCCACGGGACAGCGAGGGGAACGUAGGAGUCACUGGGGACCUUAUCACCCUGGGGGACGAAGAUGAAGAGGAGAAGAUUAAAGAAGAUGAAAAUAUGAACCGAAUGGCGGACUACCCGAAUCAAAACGCCUCUAAACAGCGACUCGACACAGAUUUGAAGCUUCUAAGACCCCCGGAGAGCUUGACCAAGAGGCGGAGGAAGAGGAAGAGGAAGGGAAGACGACACGGAGAAGAGGAAGAGGAAGAGAAGGAAGAUAAAAGUCGUUUCUCUCUCUGUGAUGACCUCUCCUUCCCUAUGAUUGAUGACGUGACCGAUGACCUGACCACACGAAACCUUGACCCCCCAGACCCCCCUGAACCCCCUCCUCCUCCUCCAACUCCUCUUCCUCCUCCUCCUCCUCCUCCUCCUCCUCCUCCUGCUCCUCCAUCCUCACCCUCCUCCUCCUCCUCCAGUUCAUCCACUCCAACCGGCGACUCCUCCUCCUCUUCCUUUUCCCUCGAUGAUAUAGGGGAGGACGUGGCUGAGUUAGCGGAGCAGCUGUGUGACGCAACAAGCGAAGCCGGUCACCUCAUCACGAAGGAACUGAAGGAGGGGAUUCAUUACGUGACCCGACCUGAGGACACCAUGGAGUUCGGCUGGCUGGACGCGCUGACCUGCCUCGUCUCCAUCGUGACCUUCUACUUUGAGCUUGUGUCCGAUGCGUUGGUCGCCUUUUACCUCUACGAUGACCCCGCCGCCAAGCACUGGUUCAUGGCCUCCGUUGUGCUGCUCGUGGCGCCUCUAGUGUUGGUGAACGGCUUUAGUCUCUACUGGUACUGGUUCGACGAGGUAUGGUGCCAGGAAUCAGCCAAGCAUCCACGCCCGCGACCCUGGCUAUGGGCUGUAAGGAUAGUGGGCCACCUCCUCCUGCAAGCUCCCGUAUUUAGACAACUCGACAUCCUCCACUAUGGCAACAAGAGCUUGGCGGAGACGGUGCUGGAGGAGGCAUCGGUGGACCAAGUGAUGCUGGCGGCCAGUUGCGAAGUCCCUGCCCUCACGCUCACCCCCGCCUCCCCGCCCGCCCAUGUCUGCACCGCCCGCCCACCGCUCCAAGGCUCCACCUCCAUCUUGGUUUGCCGCGCCCACCACCGACGUACAGAAUGCUUCGGGCGUUGGGGCAGCUUCGUGGCUCGCUGGAUUCACGCCGAGAGGGACGCCACCAAUGUUGAGCUCCUGCAGGCGCUGUCCCAAGCCGCGCCGCUCCUCAUCCUCAAUCUGUACGUGAUGACGCGCACCCUCCCCGCGCAGACCCGCAACGGACACUACAGCCAGACACUGGUGGCCCAGAUUUUCUCCGAGUGGUCCUCCCUCCUCACCCUGGCCUGGUCUGUCUCAUCCUUCGUCCGUGCCACCCGCCUCACCGAGCCCAGCCUCUCCAACCUCUCCAUCCUUGACCAGACCCUCCUCACCCUCGCUCACUUCUGCUCCAUUGUGUCACAGGUGAUGAGCUUUGCCCUCUUCGCCUCCCAGCUUGUGAUCUCAUUCUUCAUUGUCGCCACUCUCCACUGGCUGCUCAUGACAUGCUGGGUACUUGUGCAGCUGACAUGUUUCCCCCGCACCACCUGCACACGAGCCUUCUUUGCCCACGACCGGCGACGGGGACUCUGCCACCAGCUGGAUGACAUCUUCUACAGUGGCAUGAUGGGCCUCGUCUUCCUCUUCACCUUUGUCGAUGUCGGUGGAGUCAAAGGAACAAGAACGAAGUCGUUUGUGUAUCAGAUGCUUAUCUUCCUGGAGCAGAUGGUUCUCCUGUCCCUGUGGCUUGUGUGGUCAGGAGGCACAACCUGGUACCACUGGCUGCCCCUGCUGCUGUCCCCUGCCCUCUGCUGCCUCAACCUUGCCUUCAUGGCCUGCUUCUCUGCAUCUGUCAAACCUGAGUACUGUCUACCCCUGGCCAAGCAGGUGUAGUUACAGCAGCAUACAAAAUGAGAUUGUUCAGAUUGGAUGCAGCAGUGUGGUCAACUCAUGCGACACUGGCUGCAAAGCUAUUCAGUUCGCCACUGCCUCUGCUUACCCUGCCAGCUUCGUUCAGGCAUGUGUGUGCGUGUGUGUCAGGUUUGACUGCCACAGCUAGGGAGUCCCUAAGGUGAGGGCAGUGAUGUGACCUCUUUAGGGUAAAGCCUUCAGCUAUGUGAGUACAUAUGUAUAUUACCUGGGAAAGUCAAAGUCAGAGGUUAAGCUUGUAGACUGCUUUCACUAUAAACAGUUGCAUAUAAAGCAUUGAAGACGCUAACAUUGCAUUGUGUAAAAUUGCCUUUAGUCUUGCUUAUACUUCUUGACAGUCAAGCACCCCAACCCUCCUUGACACUACUCAACCUAUGAACGUGUAAUCUAUCAGUGUGCUGAGAAGAGGCAGUCGUUUUGCUGACUGCAUGUGAUUGCAUAUUUUAAAAUUAUACCAAAAACUUAAAUUAUGUAGGAAAUAUUAGAUUAACUAGUCUGCCACUGUGUGUGUGUGUGUGUCAUCUCACCUCAUCCCAUCCCAUUGGUCAUAGACUCACUACAUUCAUGUAUCACAGUCACAUUUCUUUGUAUAAAUCUCUCUCUUAGUGCAGAUGUGGCACUGAAUUGGGCCUACUUCAGAUAAAUCUUUCGAAAGUUCUGCUUUUGGGCACCUGGAACAUCCUCAGCCUCACACUGAUCAUCUCAAAAGGCUGAAGGUGGAUAUAGUGGGACUCUGAGACUAAGGGGCUUUAGCUGGAUCCCUACCUCCUAUUGAGUAAGUACAGACACUGCGGAUUGGCUGUUGGCGGACUGGGUGUCUGACAUCUCCAUCACACUAGUGUAGGAUCAGAAAAUACUCAGUUUCUUGAACUAGCUGAUUUGUCACACAAGGUAGGUAAAUUUUGAUGACAUCAUUGGAUAAAGUAAUGAUUGUACAACAAAAACAUGAUUUUUCAAUCUCGAUAGGGUAAAAAACAAAGUAAAUACGCUGAGUAGGUCAGAAAAUAACAUUGAAUGUUUAUACCACUUUUGACUUGUCAGUGUUUGCAGCAUUUAUAGAUUGUUUUAGAAUCGGGUGAGGCGACAUCCCCUGGCAUAUGCCCCCAUUGAUGAUUUAGAAUAAAACGUUUGUUCUCGUGCAUAAAAUCCAUGUGAAUAUGAUGCCACUCUCCGAUGUUAGAUAAAGUGCAAUAUGAGAGACAAAAGGAUUUGUAAAAAGUGGUAUAAACAUUAAAUGUUAUUCUGACAUUCACCAUAUUUACAUUAUUUUUUACCCCAUUGAGUUCGGAACAUUGUGUUGAGUUGUACAAGCACUGCUUAAGUCAAAGAUAUCAACAAAGUUUGUGUAAUUUAUGUAACAGCUUGGCUAAGUAAAGAAAUAAUUUUCUGAACCUAUGUGACCGUGUUGGGCGAUGGAAACGUCAGACACUGCCCGCCAAUCAGCAGCGUCCUUAUUCCUCGACUAGAAAUCCAGCUGAAGUGAUUGGAUCAUAGUGAUCCUAACAUGAGCAAUGUUAUUAGUCUUAUCUAGGGGGAAACUGUAGACGUGUCCAGUGUGAGUGGGGCUGAAGCACACCUUUGACUUCUUAUCCCUUGUUGCAUAUUGGUUCAUUGUGCACUCAGCACCCUCAAGGACCUUCAAAUGUGAAACUCUCCAAGCUGUAAAGAAGUGCACAAGAGUACCUGGUGGGGUCAAGGAGUGGUUUUGCUUCAGAUGUUGGAGAACAUAGAGGUCACAUUGCCAUGUUUACUGGGAAUUAGGACUGAUAUAAGGCUGUGUCUCAUAGGAUUGGAGAUCUCCUUUGAAGACAGAGGUAUGUCAGGAGUUUUACUGGGACAUAGAGUCAAAAAGGACUCCCAAGUUCUUUAUCAAUCCUUUUGAAAGCUACAAUACAACUCUCCCUCUCAUGUGGGUGCUGUGUAUUAAGCAUGGAUGGGCAGAGGGCUUGUUAUGCUGAGUACUUGGAGCAGCUAUGCCUGGGGAACCCUUUGAGCGGCAGUUUAACUGAUUGAUUACUUUUAGUGGAUGCUGAUUCAUCUAAUGACAAAACCCUACCAUCUCUUGACUUAGUUGGAGAAGCUGUGGCAAGGCUGAGGAGUGGAACUGCCUCUGGAGUUUGUAACUUCAUUGCAGAGCUGUUAUAAGCCUUUGGGGUGGCCAAGAUCCAUGGGUUGCAUUUGAUUUUGACUGACAUACAGAAAUCUGGUACCAUAGGCCAAUCAAAACAGCAAGCAACCCAUGGUUUAUGGUUGCCCUUCUGAUAUUGGGCAGCUUCAGAAUGAUUUAACAAACAUCAGCGGCCACUCCACUACUCAACCUCGCCACAGCUUCUCUAACCUCAUAAAGACAUGUUAGGGUUUUGCCAAUGGGCAACUCAGCAUCAACUAUAAAGGUAACCCAGCAGUUGUAAGCUGCUGCUUGAAGGGUUUGCAAUGCAUAGCUGCUCAAAGUACUGAGCCCAAUGAGCCCUCUACCUAUCCAUGUCUGCCACAAGGUAAUUGUCUGCUGUGCUGUUUGAAUAUCACUUACUUGAGAGUGAGGCUCAUAACAUUCGCUGAUUUUCAGGGAUUGGUAAGCAAGUCAAGAAAUCAUUAACACUGAAAUCACCUUUGACAUCCUUAUUGAGACCCUGACAUAGGCUCUUGUUGUCUCUACAGGCGACAGCCUUAUAUUGGUCCUAAAGGGUGUCAAGCACAUUAAACCAAGUCUUCAGGUUGUCAAGGUCAAAGACAACAAUCAUGUGCUAGUCAUGGUACUUGCCCAUGUUUUGAUCAUGCAGAUUCACAGUAAAUGGCUGAAGUUGCAGAGGCCUGAGGAAUCCAGGUUCAUGCUUGGUCAAUUGACACUGACAUGAGUUUCAACAGGAGAUCGGGUUACUUGUAGCCUAUGUCAUCCUCAAGUUUCAGUGCAUUGUGAGGCACCCUAGAAGCUCCUGCAACCCUGUGGGUUUCCUAGAAGGAUUGUUGGUCUGUUGACUGGCCUGUGCUGUGUGAAAAGUGAGUAUGAGAACAUAUCCAGCUUCUUUCCUAUUAACACAGGAGGCAGGGCUGUAUCCUUGCUCCUUCACCAAGGGAGCAACCACAAAGCUCAUGACUUGAGCAGGCAGUGGAUCUUGCUUUGAGUUAUUUUGUGCUAUCCACACUAUCAGGCAAUGCCCAAUGGGCAAACAUGGUUACCACAUCCCAAUUCACUCCACACGUUUAAAUGGGAUGGGGUGGUGGGGGGAGGGUGGCACUGAUAUGAGGCCAUGCACAAAUGGGGUGGGGGAAGGGGUGGCAGGCCAUGCACAAAUACACAAGUCUCAAACUAAUAGAAACUUGCCCUCUGGCUGCCAUUAAUAUCAUAUUGCUGUUUUGCAUUAUGCCCGAGUGUAUAACCACACACAGGACCUGCCCAAUAAUAUGGAGGCAGCUAAACAACACUGGUUAAGGGAAUCAACCCUUCAAUUAAUACACUCAGCCUCAUAAAUGGGUCUGUCAACACCUGGAUCAACGUAGUUCUUUUGAUCAUGGUCCACACUUAAACACAAGUGAAACGCCCAUCAUAGGAAACUUUUCACAACUUACAGACGGGUAUGCCCAUCAUGAUUUUGCCCAGUAAGUGCACUGCCAAAUAGUGUGAAGUCUGUUGGAAACUGCUCCAUCUGGUAACACUGCUUGAGAAGUGAUUAAAAUACGAUCAGUGCAGUUUACCCAUUAGGCACUGCCAAAUAGUGUGGACAGGGCCUUAGGAUUGGAAGGGGGUCUGCAGGGAAACUUAUAGGGUGGACAAGGCAAUGUGCCCCUUCAGUGUAUGCAUUAACUGACCGACUGCUUUCAGUCCUUACACAGUAGCUUUUGAAUUACUGAGCGCUAGAAUUUUUCAGCAAGACAAAAUGAUAAUGCCACCGAGACAAGUUGUACAAAAGAAAAUAAAUAAAAAACCCAAAACCUGUCUUUCUUUUACAUAAAAUCCUAUCAGAUUAUGUGCUGGCCUGUAUUCAUAUUCCAUGAUGUGAGAAUACUGUUGUUAUGAGUUCUGAACAAAUCCCUUAAUAUAAUAAUCUUUUAUGCAAAACAACUGAAUCAAAAGGGAGUAUUGUAACUAAUUAUCAAAAGCUCAUUCUUGGUACUACUAAAGCAUCUGCCCAGGUCAGUCCAGAUUAGGCACAGGCAGACUGUCGAAAGCUCAACUACAAUUGAAAACUUUAAAAAUGCCUACGGCCAUAAGCAACUGAAAAUUAAUAACUAAUAACUGGAUAAAAAGUCAUGAUCGGAGCACUUUCCCACCUCAGAAGCAAAUUAAUUCAGGCCCUUGUCUUUUGGUUUCUUUUCUUCCUCUAAAUACUGGCAAUUUUUUCUAACAUAUUUGUAAAAAACUUCAAACAAUCAAUUGAUUACCAAAUACAUUAUAAAUUAAUACCAAUCAAGUGAACAACUUUAUAUGGCCCCAAGACCUACCACAGGCCAGCAAGUAAUGUUUAAUAAUGUUCACAUACCAAUGAAAAUACUACAUUCUUGUUCUGUUCACAUUUCCCCUUCCUUCCUCCUUUCUCAAUACCUGGCUAUGGAUGCAAUCCACUCUUUUCUUCCCUCACCUCGAUAUUACAAUAUUCAUGACUAUUCCUACCUCCCUCCUACACUCACUCACAACCUCUAUUUUCCUCUCCUUCCUCUUUUACCCAACCAUAUGUUUAGUAAGCAAGUCACUUGGCAUGUAAUUCUUCAAUAACAUACUAACUCUAAUAUACCCUAUGCAAAUACUUUUUUGCUAGCCCUUAUCGUAUAUUCUCAAAGUUUUCUUCAGCUGCAAGUCUUUCAUAAUUUUCCUCUACAGCCCCACCAUAAUGCCCUCACACGAUACCUUUCCUUCACACCUUAAAUCAAAAUCCCUUCCUUGAUAAUACUUUCAUCAAGGCGACUUUAAUUUUCUUCUGCGCCUCCUGACUUAGCGCUAGGUCUUCAAUUAUUAUACUCCCAUUUCCCCCUCCCAUGCUGCCUGGCCUUCAGUCACUUUAUCUUCUACACUUACAUUUCCUUCUCUUUAUGCCUGCCCCCCAAUCACCAUGUCCUUUAUUUUCACAUUUUCUCCCCCUCUCUUGCUGCCUGACCUUCAAUCACUGGGCCCUUUACAUUUACAUUUCCCCCUCUUAAUGCCUCCCCUUCAAUCACCAUGUCCUCUACACUAACAUUUCCUCCCCUUGCUGCCCAUUCAAUAUCACAUUUUCCAACCUAUCCAUUUCUAAACCUAUUCCUUCAAACCACACAUAUUUUCUCUGGCCUUCAAUCAUGAUCAAUCAACAUAAUAAAUCAUACACCUUGAACUACAUACAACAAAUAAUAUAAAAAUGGUAUACAACUAACUAAACAACUUUAAAUAUAUCACACAACAUUAAACAACACCCAUAAGGGAUUGCAAUGAUGAAUAAAAAACAUACAAAUAUACAUAAAAACCAAAUGCACUUUCACAUCCCUUAAGUAAGAUGCAUGUGAAAAAGUAAAUAAAUAGUUUGUAAAAUGGUACCAAUGUCUCAACACCAGAACUUUGACAUGUAAAAAAAGUGGAGCUGAUUUUUUUUCCAUUCUGGUAUUAAACAAACUUCUGGUACCUCCUCCUCUUCCUUAACAUGACUAUAUAUUAUUAUUACUAUCAUUAUUGCCUUUUGUCUGGUGUUUUAUCUGAGCAAAUCUCUUAACUUUCAUGAUAUGCUCAAUUUUUUUUCUGGCUGCUGUAAUGAAGUAAAAUUUUCACUUCUUUAGGUAUUUCAAUCUGACUCAAUUUGCUUCUCAUACUCAAAUUUGCUUCACUUGAUAGCAAGGAUGAUAUUGCUUCACUAUUUAUAUUGUUAACCUUAAUCUUGUUCCGUUUCAAUUUUACUUGAUUUUUUUCUUGACCUCCCAUUUUUGCUUAUAAGGAAACAAUCAUUCACAGCUCCUGUCAGCCGUAACAUUAAAACACACACACACACACACACACACACACACACACACACACACACACAA